UACAGAGGUCCCAAGCGUUGUUCGGAUUCACUGGGCGUAAAGGGUGCGUAGGCGGUCGUGUAAGUCUGAUGUGAAAUCUCACAGCUUAACUGUGAAACUGCAUUGGAUACUAUUCGGCUUGAGAGUUGGAGGGGGGACUGGAAUUCUUGGUGUAGCAGUGAAAUGCGUAGAUAUCAAGAGGAACACCAGUGGCGAAGGCGAGUCCCUGGACAACUUCUGACGCUGAGGCACGAAAGCUAGGGGAGCAAACAGG
rnacentral:rRNA from 1 species